CGCAUCUGUGCAUGCAGCAUAUCAAUAAGCGGAGGAAAAGAAACUAACAAGGAUUCCCCUAGUAACGGCGAGUGAAGCGGGAAGAGCUCAAAUUUGAAAUCUUAAAGGGUUUCCCUUUACGAAUUGUAGUUUAAAGAAGUGUUUUCUGUUGAGGUUUUGGUAAAAGUUCUUUGGAAUAGGACAUCAUAGAGGGUGAGAAUCCCGUAUUUGACCUUUACUUUCAACUUUGUGAUACACUUUCAAAGAGUCGGAUUGUUUGGGAAUGCAGUCCAAAAUGGGUGGUAAAUUUCAUCUAAAGCUAAAUAUUGGCGAGAGACCGAUAGCGAACAAGUACCGUGAGGGAAAGAUGAAAAGAACUUUGAAAAGAGAGUUAAACAGUACGUGAAAUUGUCAAAAGGGAAGCGUUUGACACCAGUGUUGUUUUUCUGAAAAUCAAUUAAAGAACUGUUUAUGCUAAGUUGUUUAGACUUUAUCAGCUAACUGUUUAGUUUUGAGCUUUUCUUUAAUGCACUUUUCAGUUAACAAGUCAGCAUCAAUUUCUUUUGCUGUAAAAAAGCUUGAGGAAGGUGGCUUGAGAUUCGUCUUAAGUGUUUAUAGCCUCUUGCCUAUGCAGUCGGAGAGAUUGAGGUCUGCAGCGUAGAUCCUUCGGGGCUAAAUGCAUUUGUGCUAAGUUAUAACAUUUUAUAGACAACUUGUUGACUAUGAUUUGUCUUGUAGCUUACUCGCUUAUGUUAUUUUACCUACGCUUAGGAUGUUGACAGCAGUAUAGACUGU
rnacentral:rRNA from 1 species